CCUGUCUGACCAUUUCUUGCCCUCCUUGAUCAUCUCUAACAAAUACAGGGGAUCUCUGGCAUGACGUGACACUUCCUACGGCUCCCAUGGGCUCUCAGAAGGCGGGAAAAAGCUGAACGAUGUAAUUCCAUCCCCAGGCUGAAACACAUUAGCGCGUUUGGCAAGUGCUCUAUCAGAGGGCCAUUAGACUGAGGCUCGUGCAUGAGGGGAUAGCAUGCUUUUACUUUCACUCUCUUUGUAAUAAAAAAAACGAUUUCCCGGUCGGAAUAUUAUCGCUUUUUUACGAGAAAAAUGGCAUAAAAAUUGAUUUUAAACAGCGGUUGACAUGCUUCGAAGUACGGUAAGGGAAUAUUUAGAUUUUUUUUUGUCACAAAAUGCGCCGUGCUCGUAACCCUUCUUUCCCCUUUCGGAUAGUGUCUUGAACGCACGAACAAAACGCCGCUAUUUGGAUAUAACAAUGGAUUAUUUGGGACCAAACCAACAUUUGUUAUUAAAGUAGAAGUCCUGGGAGUGCAUUCUGACGAAGAACAGCAAAGUGGAUUUAGGAGAUGACAUCAAUAAGGGACCAUAGCUUUCAUCUGGAUUCACCUGGUCAGCCUAUGUCAUGGAAAGACCCCAGCCACCCCAGUCUCUACUACCGCAUGGCAUGCGGUACCGGAGUGCCAAGUCUGGGACAAAAAGGCUUCUCAACAGUUUUUACCCCCAAGCCAUAAGACUCCUGAACAGAGCAUAUAACCAUCCAUGGAGAUCAGCGGACAAAGGGCUGGACAACAGGCUGCAUGGUUGCCAAGAAAGUGGCCACUGCAAUCGAUGGGGG
rnacentral:lncRNA from 1 species